rnacentral:rRNA from 1 species
UACGUAGGGGGCAAGCGUUGUCCGGAAUCAUUGGGCGUAAAGAGCGUGUAGGCGGCUCGGUAAGUCCGCUGUAAAAGUCCAGGGCUCAACCCUGGAAAGCCGGGUGGAAACUGUCGAGCUAGAGUCCGGAAGAGGCGAGUGGAAUCCUGGUGUAGCGGUGAAAUGCGCAGAUAUCAGGAGGAACACCAUGGCGAAGGCAGCUCGCUGGGACGGUACUGACGCUGAGACGCGAAACGUGGGGAGCAAACAGG